CUACGAGGGAGUCUUUAGAUCUCACAGGUCCCACUCCAGGCCUGACACUAUACAGGCGGUUUACGACCUUGGACAUUAAACCUGCAUUAAUCAGAGAGAAAUGACUUGCGUCGGCAGACCUAGUAAAACUUUUGGCCUUCAGAUGGAAGGACACUGCGUGCCAGAAGCAAGGCAUCCAGAUGAAGAAGCAUGAAGCCGGGGUGCGGGGGGCCAGCUCUGCCACUGACUAGCCACAGGACUGAGCAGGGUCACUGUAUCCCAGCUGCCAUCUCCCCAGUGUGUGAAAUGGACCUGGAAAUCACACCCUAUCCACUUUACUGGGCUGUUGCCUUGCUCAAAUGAUGUCAUUUAAAUGCAAACUCUGAAAAUGAUCAAGUCCUUAAUCUCCCUCACCAGAGCAGGCAUUGUGGUGUCCACAGGCACUCACGCACACAGACACACACACACACACACACACACAGACACACACACACACACACAUACACACACACACCCACAAGCUUAAGAAUCAGAAAACAUCCCUUCCUCCUUAACUCUGUUUCUGGUAGCUAGAUGACAUUAUCCACAGGAGAGUAUGAGCCCUUGUUGGGCACACACUCCUUACAAGAACUUCUCUCAACACGGCACAGAAAGCAGCAUUCAGUUCCACCCAUCAGUACUGGGGUAGGAAGCUUAUCCAGUAGUAAGCAAAGCCUGAAAUGCAAGUCCAAGAUGCUAAAGCUCCUUGAGGACAAGGUUCCCUUGUUCUGUGGUAUUCUAUAGUAUGCUACUCCAAAUUGCAUGUUUUUGAAAUACACAGUUGUCCUAGGACAUAAGAAAUGGUUUAGGACAAUAACACAAUGGUUCUCAACCUUCCUAAUGCUGUAACCCUUUAAUACAAUUGCUCAUGUUGUGCUGACCUCUCCCCAACUAUAAAAUUACUUUAGUUGCUAUUUCAUAACUGUAAUUUUCUACUGUUAUGACUCAAAAUGUAACUAUCUGAUAUUCAGGAUAUCUGAUAUGUGACCCCCAAAGGGAUGGUGAGCCACAGGUUGAGAACCACUGCAUGACAUAAGCCACUUAGGCCGUCUUAGACUAGAAAAUACUGCUGACAUGGAUUCUGCAUUGACUCCUUCUGGGACUCUUCAAAGAGCUGGCAUAGGUGGGAGAAGCAGGGUGGUUCUACCUCUCUCUCUCCCCCUCCCCCUCUCACUUUAUGAUUACCUCGCCCUGUCUCAGUGCUCUUCGGAACAAUGAAUGUUACUCCAACCUGACCCAGGAUACACUUCCCUGAAGGCCAAAGUCUCAGACUGUUCAGGGGCAGGUGACCCACAGUCACUCGCUCACCACAAGGCCACCUUCACACCCACAGAGUGAAGAACACGGCCACCCAUCUCUGAUAACUUUUCCAGUUAUCUACCAAAUCAUUUCUCUGGCGUUUUAAGAAUCAGCCACAAAUUCUCUUGCCAAGCCAAUGUGUAUAUAUGCAGUACUAAAUGGACUGACA